rnacentral:rRNA from 1 species
AUUGAACGCUGGCGGCAGGCUUAACACAUGCAAGUCGAGCGGAGAUGAGGUGCUUGCACCUUAUCUUAGCGGCGGACGGGUGAGUAAUGCUUAGGAAUCUGCCUAUUAGUGGGGGACAACAUUCCGAAAGGAAUGCUAAUACCGCAUACGUCCUACGGGAGAAAGCAGGGGAUCUUCGGACCUUGCGCUAAUAGAUGAGCCUAAGUCGGAUUAGCUAGGUGGUGGGGUAAAGGCCUACCAAGGCGACGAUCUGUAGCGGGUCUGAGAGGAUGAUCCGCCACACUGGGACUGAGACACGGCCCAGACUCCUACGGGAGGCAGCAGGGGGGAAUAUUGGACAAUGGGGGAAACCCUGAUCCAGCCAUGCCGCGUGUGUGAAGAAGGCCUUAUGGUUGUAAAGCACUUUAAGCGAGGAGGAGGCUACUGAGACUAAUACUCUUGGAUAGUGGACGUUACUCGCAGAAUAAGCACCGGCUAACUCUGUGCCAGCAGCCGCCGUAA